UGCCAUUUUUUUCGCUAAACAAUUUUCACAAGUUGAUAGAUUAACUGUUUCAAUUGGGCAUAAUAAUCCCUCUAUAGCUAAUCUAUCCAUUUGGUGUUGUCCUAUAUGGCCUAAUCUAGUAUGCGAUACAUCCACAUCAACAUCAUUAAAAGAUGUAAUAAAGAAAGAGCAAACAUUAUAUAUAUCACUACAUAAAAUG
rnacentral:lncRNA from 1 species